GGGUCUGUAAUUCAAAGGAAGAAUAUAUGCCUUUUAAGCAUACUACGACGGAUCGUUACCGUCCAGACCCACCA
rnacentral:tRNA from 1 species